rnacentral:tRNA from 1 species
GCCGGAGUGGCGGAAUUGGCAGACGCAAGGGACUUAAAAUCCCUCGCCAGAAAUGGUGUACCGGUUCAAGUCCGGUCUCCGGUACCA